rnacentral:ribozyme from 1 species
ACGAAGUUCCUAGUUAUUCAUGCAAUUGGAUCCGAAGCCCUCUGAGGGUUAAUAUAGGCUCUUCGAUCCAACUUCUAUUUCGACACAUCCUCGUUGUCCAGAGUGGUAACAUGUGCCAGCACAUAUUCAAACUUGGGUACACGGGCUAGAUCCAAUCCCUUGGGCGGAUGGUGGCAUAUGGCGAACCAGACGGAG